rnacentral:siRNA from 1 species
AGGGACAUGGUGUCUUUAGAGUAC